AGGUAUUGGGGUACAUGUGAAGAACAUGUGAGAUUGUUGCAUAGAAAUCUCCAAGUAGAAUUCUGAUGAUGUCACUUUGUCAUUCAGAAACCUUUCCCUCACACUGGUGAGUGAGACCCUUUAUCAUACAGUUGUGUCUGAGACUUUCUAACUUAACCUCAUUCAAACCAUUCACCAUAGUCUAAUUUCUGGGUGUCUACUUUAUAUUAUAUUCCUUUUUCCCUGAAACAUCCUUACUCCAUUUCUCACUGGUGAAAUUCUUUCUUCAAUGACCAGUUCCAAACAGUUGGAACUCCUUAAAAAACAUCCUAAUUAUUAUUUUUGUCUCUCUGAAAUGCUCAAAUCAAUCUGUCUUCUCUACUUCUGUAACGCCAUGUUAACUUCUAUUACAGUACCAUAACACUGUUCUACCUU